CACGUAGGGUGCGAGCGUUGUCCGGAAUUAUUGGGCGUAAAGAGCUCGUAGGCGGUGUGUCGCGUCGGCCGUGAAAACCUGCAGCUUAACUGUGGGCUUGCGGUCGAUACGGGGCAUCACUGGAGUUCGGCAGGGGAGACUGGAAUUCCGUGGUGUAGCGGUGAAAUGCGCAGAUAUCAGGAGGAACACCGAUGGCGAAGGCCAGGUCUCUGGGCCAACUACUGACGCUGGAGAAGCGAAAGCAUGGGGAGCGAACA
rnacentral:rRNA from 1 species